GUCGAGAAUCUUUCACAAUGGGGGCAACCCUGAUGGAGCGACGCCGCGUGGAGGAUAAGGUCUUCGGAUUGUAAACUCCUGUCAUGCGUGAACAAGGUUGCUUGGUUAAUACCUGGGCAAAUUGAUGGUAACGCAAGAGGAAGAGACGGCUAACUCUGUGCCAGCAGCCGCGGUAAUACAGAGGUCUCAAGCGUUGUUCGGAAUCACUGGGCGUAAAGGGUGCGUAGGUGGCGUGGUAAGUCAGAUGUGAAAGCCCGGGGCUCAACCUCGGAACUGCAUCCGAUACUGCCAUGCUAGAGUACUGGAGGGGUGAAUAGAAUUCUCGGUGUAGCAGUGAAAUGCGUAGAUAUCGAGAGGAAUACCAAAGGCGUAGGCAGGUCACUGGACAGUUACUGACACUGAGGCACGAAGGCCAGGGGAGCGAACGGGAUUAGAUACCCGUGUAGUCC
rnacentral:rRNA from 1 species